rnacentral:rRNA from 1 species
GACGAACGCUGGCGGCGUGCUUAACACAUGCAAGUCGAACGGAAAGGCCCUGCUUUUGUGGGGUGCUCGAGUGGCGAACGGGUGAGUAACACGUGAGUAACCUGUCCUUGACUUUGGGAUAACUUCAGGAAACUGGGGCUAAUACCGGAUAGGAGCUCCUGCUGCAUGGUGGGGGUUGGAAAGUUUCGGCGGUUGGGGAUGGACUCGCGGCUUAUCAGCUUGUUGGUGGGGUAGUGGCUUACCAAGGCUUUGACGGGUAGCCGGCUUGAGAGGGUGACCGGCCACAUUGGGACUGAGAUACGGCCCAGACUCCUACGGGAGGCAGCAGUGGGGAAUAUUGCACAAUGGGCGGAAGCCUGAUGCAGCAACGCCGCGUGCGGGAUGACGGCCUUCGGGUUGUAAACCGCUUUCGCCUGUGACGAAGCGUGAGUGACGGUAAUGGGUAAAGAAGCACCGGCUAACUACGUG